rnacentral:rRNA from 1 species
CCGGUACGGNGCCGUGAGAGCGGGAGCCCGGAGAUGNNNACUGAGACAAGGANNAGGCCCUACGGGGCGCAGCAGUUGCGAAAACUCCACAAUGCACGAAAGUGUGACAGGGCUAUCCCGAGUGCCGUCCGCUGAGGAUGGCUUUUCUCUGCUGUAAGGAGGCGGAGGAAUAAGGAGAGGGCAAGCCUGGUGUCAGCCGCCGCGGUAAUACCAGCUCUCCGAGUGGUGAGGGAUGAUUAUUGGGCNNUAAAGCGUCGCGUAGCCGGCUUNUACAAGUCUUUUGUUAAAUCCAGCGACUNCAAUNNGUUGGACUGCGGGAGAUACUGUCGUNAGCUAGNNGGGACGGGAGAAGCCGACGGUAUCUCUCGGGGUAGGGAGUGUAAUCCUAUAAUCCCUGGGAAGGACCACCAGUGGCGUAGGCGNGUCGGCUAGCACGCNGUUCUGACGGUGAGGAACGAAAGCUGGGGGAGCGAACCGGAUUAGAUACCCGGGUAGUCCCNAGCUGUAAACGAUGCGGGCUAGGUGUUGGGGNUGGCCUACGUACCGACUUCAGUGCCGCAGGGAAGCCAUUAAGCCCGCCGCCUGGGGAGUACGGNNCGCAAGGCUGAAACUUAAAGGAAUUGGCGGGGGAGCAC